rnacentral:lncRNA from 1 species
AACCUGCAAAUUUAACAGUGCAUCUCCAACCAUCAUAUCAAUUAUCAAACAACUCGGAUUAUUUAAGGUAGAAGAUGGAAGCUUUUCAUUUGUUAUUUUCAGCUUAAUUAUGAAACUGAAACUCUGCAUUCUAUGUACAAAGUUUUCUUGAUGUGGUCCAUUUGUUUCAGUAUUUUUAGGUCAUAGGAAUAUAAUGGUGGUGUGCAUUCUCGUUAAUCCAAACACCAGGAGUUAUUCUUCUACUAUUUUAAAAAAAUCAAACGACUCAUAAACCUGAUCAUCACAAACAUAAGAUGAUAUUUAACUUGGCAAAAAUAAAAACUGAAUUAAUAUCAAUUUUCGAUAAGAUAUUUUUCGAAUAUGUUGGGAUACUAAGGAGAAAUUUAGCACCAGUAUUGAUAGAGAAGAAAAUUGUGAGAAAACCUGGGUUUGAGGGGGAUCAAACUCUGGCCAAUGGCAUGCCCCUGGUAGCUCUCUACCAGCCAGGCUACACGUUGUUCUCAUUUUUUGAUAAGAUAUACCUUGUUUAUAACUGCUAAUGAGCAGAUCUCCUCAAAAGUAUCAAAUGAGUCGAAUCUUCGGAUCUCGUCCUUCUCUAGGUAGCCGAGAUGGCAGUCAGUCGCCACCAAUAUGCGCAGCAUGCUAUUUUCUUCUUCAUCCCUGAAGAACAAAACACAUAUAUCAUUGCAAGUAACAAUUUAGAUCAUUGCAAAAGAAUAGUAUUGUAACAAAAGAUAACUUGUUUAAGAAAGGAUAGAAGAAAGGGGAAAAGGAAUUAAUGCCGAUUUUGUGCUGAUGAUGAAACAAUUGAGCACUUAUUUUUAAAGUGACCCUUGGCAAUAUUUAUUUGGAAUUCAUGGUAGCUUGUACCUUUAAUCUGAAACCAGGAAAUUAUAUAGCCCACAUGUGUUGGGACCUGGAUGCAUUAUUUUGAUAAAGAAACACAGAAAAUGAUUAUUGGAGGUGUGGUGUCAAUCAUUUGGUCUAUCUGGAAAACAAGAAAUGCAACAUGUUUGCCCCCAUUCUUUUUAGCUAUUUCACCGAAUUAUUACCACAGAUUAUUUGCUCCACGCCUCUAAAAUACGCUUUCUAAAAAAUAUAUUCUACUAUUUGUAUUGCUUAGACUACUUGCUUUAAGAUUUUUGUUAACUUUAUUUAUCAAAAUAUUCAAUUUAUCCCUAUAAGCAAGUAGAUAAUCCACUGCCAUAAUUCAUUCAAUGCAUGAUUUGUUUCAAACGGGCACGAAAUGAACUACCAAAUGUUCCAAUUGAACUAAUACACUACACUUGUUUCUAGCUAGAUUUCAUCUUGGUCAAAAGGAGGAGGAAAAGCAAAGAAAGGUGCAAAUGCAGGACGCAACUAUUAAAGCGGGUGGCUUGUGAAGUACAUGGAUCAAUGUAUGGUUGAGGGCUUAAUGCAAGACAACUGCAGGAAACCCUAGCUGCACUGUUUGGAAGCUUCUUGUUGGAAAGUUGAAAUGCAGCUCAUUUUGAGCUUCUCAUGUGUGCAUAAAAACUCCUUUGAUGUAAUGAUGUAGUGUGGUAAUUUUGAAGGAUCUUUGGCUUAAUUAGACUUUGCUAGGUAUGCAGAAUGGUGGAUUUGACUCUCACGCUGAAUGGUGGGAUUUAUGGUACCAAGUUACCAUGACAAAUUUAAUUGUCUUCGCAAACUUUUGUCUUUUAACCUUCAUUUCUAGUGACAGAAAUGUGAGAAGUGUGCCUCUCUUCCUAAAAAAAAGAUCAUUGCAACUCAAUUCAUGCAGGAGUAACUUCUAAUGAAAGGAGUUAAUUGAAGUACAUGUUCAAAC